rnacentral:rRNA from 1 species
CAGCAGCCACGGGAAUGCGAAGGGUGCAAGCGUUAAUCGGAAUUACUGGGCGUAAAGCGUGCGUAGGCGGUGAGUUAAGUCUGUUGUGAAAGCCCUGGGCUCAGCCUGGGAAUUGCAGUGGAUACUGGGUCACUAGAGUGUGGUAGAGGAUAGUGGAAUUUCCGGUGUAGCAGUGAAAUGCGUAGAGAUCGGAAGGAACAUCUGUGGCGAAGGCGACUAUCUGGGCCAACACUGACACUGAGGCACGAAAGCGUGGGGAGCAAACAGGAUUAGAUACCCGAGUAGUCCCUGUCUCUUAUAC